GAUGAACGCUAGCGGCAGGCUUAACACAUGCAAGUCGAGGGGUAUAGUUCUUCGGAGCUAGAGACCGGCGCACGGGUGCGUAACGCGUAUGCAAUCUACCUUUUACAGAGGGAUAGCCCCAGAGAAAUUUGGAUUAAUACCUCAUAGUAUGUGAGAAUCGCAUGGUUUUCACAUUAAAGUUCCAACGGUAAAGAUGAGCAUGCGUCCCAUUAGCUAGAUGGUAAGGUAACGGCUUACCAUGGCUACGAUGGGUAGGGUCCUGAGAGGGAGAUCCCCCCACACUGGUACUGAGACACGGACCAGACUCCUACGGGAGGCAGCAGUGAGGAAUAUUGGACAAUGGGCGCAAGCCUGAUCCAGCCAUGCCGCGUGCAGGAUGACGGUCCUAUGGAUUGUAAACUGCUUUUGUACAGGAAGAAACACUCCCUCGUGAGGGAGCUUGACGGUAUGUAAGAAUAAGGAUCGGCUAACUCCGUAGCCAGCA
rnacentral:rRNA from 1 species